rnacentral:misc_RNA from 1 species
UGUCCACUGAACCUUAUCAUUUAGAGGAAGGAGAAGUCAUWRCAAGGUUUCCGUAGGUGWACCCGCGGAAGGAUCAUUGUCAAAACUUGCACAACAGAGCGACCCACGAACCAGYGACAACCGACGCCCCCUCCCUCCCCCCCCGCUGCGAGUAGGGACCUCKUGUCUCUCGMCCGUAAWCYGAACCCCGGUGUGGAACGCGCCAAGGAAAUUGAAACYAAGADAGCCAUGCUGGAGGMCCUGGACACGGUGCGCCCUCGGUGUCGGCGUCUUACUAAUUAUCCAAAACGACUCUCGGCAAUGGAUAUCUAKGCUCUCGCAUCGAUGAAGAACGUAACGAAAUGUGAUACUUGAUGUGAAUUGCAGAAUCCCGUGAAUCAUCGAGUUUUUGAACGUAAGUUGCGCCCGAAGCCAUUCGACCGAGGGCACGUCUGCUUGGGUGUCACGCAUCGUUGCCCCCCCCCAAAUGCCAKUUCGGGGUGGGGCGGAAGCUGGCCUCCCAUGCACAUGCUCGUGHGCGGUUAGCCCAAAAGCGAGUCCUCGAAGACAAGCACCAUGACAAUCGGUGGUUUCUCGACCCUCAUUCCCCGUCUUGAGUGCCCCGUCGUCCGAACGUGCUCUCGAGACCCUMGCGUGUCGYCUCGGCAGCGCUCCCAACUGACCCCAGGUCAGGAAGGACUACCCGCUGAGUUUAAGCAUAUCAAUAAGCGGAGGAA